rnacentral:rRNA from 1 species
AUUGAACGCUGGCGGCAGGCUUAACACAUGCAAGUCGAGCGAGCGGCGGACGGGUGAGUAAUGUCUGGGAAACUGCCUGAUGGAGGGGGAUAACUACUGGAAACGGUAGCUAAUACCGCAUACCAUCAGAUGUGCCCAGAUGGGAUUAGCUAGUAGGUGGGGUAAUGGCGCACCUAGGCGACGAUCCCUAGCUGGUCUGAGAGGAUGACCAUCCACACUGGAACUGAGACACGUCCCAGACUCCUACGUGAGGCAGCAGUGGGGAAUAUUGCACAAUGGACGCAAGCCUGAUGCAGCCAUGCCGCGUGUAUGAAGAAGGCCUUAGGGUUGUAAAGUACUUUCAGCGGGGAGGCGUUACCCUCAGAAGAAGCACCGGCUAACUCCGUGCCAGCAGCCGCGGUAAUUC